UACGUAGGGACCAAGCGUUGUUCGGAUUUACUGGGCGUAAAGGGCGCGUAGGCGGCGCGGUAAGUCACUUGUGAAAUCUCUGAGCUUAACUCAGAACGGCCAAGUGAUACUGCAGUGCUAGAGGUAGGUAGGGGCAAGCGGAAUUCCUGGUGUAGCGGUGAAAUGCGCAGAUAUCAGGAGGAACACCGGUGGCGAAGGCGGCUUGCUGGGCCUUACCUGACGCUGAGGAGCGAAAGCGUGGGGAGCGAACAGG
rnacentral:rRNA from 1 species